AUACGUAGGUGGCGAGCGUUGUCCGGAUUUACUGGGUGUAAAGGGCGAGUAGGCGGGUAAACAAGUCAGAUGUGAAAUACCGAGGCUCAACUUCGGGGCUGCAUUUGAAACUGUUUAUCUUGAGUGAUGGAGAGGCAGGCGGAAUUCCCAGUGUAGCGGUAAAAUGCAUAGAGAUUGGGAGGAACACCAGUGGCGAAGGCGGCCUGCUGGACAUCAACUGACGCUGAGGAGCGAAAGUGUGGGGAGCAAACAGGAUUAGAUACCCUGGUAGUCCACACCGUAAACGAUGGAUACUAGGUGUGCGGGGACUGACCCCCUGCGUGCCGGAGUUAACACAUUAAGUAUCCCACCUGGGGAGUACGAUCGCAAGAUUGAAACUCAAAUGAAUUGACGGG
rnacentral:rRNA from 1 species